rnacentral:sRNA from 1 species
GUAUCAGGUGGUGGAAGCUGUAAUGAACAUCAGAUGAACAUUGGUAUUGAUACUUCAAAUUGAACACUGCUGUAGUUCCCUUCCUCUUGUGUUGUCUUGUAAGACCUGGCUGAACUGCUGAAGUUGUUUUCAUUGAGUCCUGACUAGCAGCAAUCAAGUUAUUUGUCUUUCAACUUUGAUAUUAUCAAAUAGAGUCUCAGUUACAUGGCAUCAGAGGUUAAGUACCACUUGUCACAUGCAUGACAUCAGAGGUUAAGUACCACUUGUCACAUGCAUGACAUCAGAGGUUAAGUACCACUUGUCACAUGCAUGACAUCAGAGGUUAAGUACCACUUGUCAUAUGCAUUCUUUCUUCUUCUUCAUCGUUCUCAUUGUUAUGUUGGAGUGUUCAUAUGACUAGACCAAUACAUGAGAUGAACUGCUCAGUCACAUGCAUGACAUCAAACCUCUAGCACCACUAGAUUGGAGUGCUAUGUGUGUUGCAACCAAACCCUAUCAUUUUUUGUGUCCACUUCUAGAUUUGGUUUUCAUGUUCUAAAACAUGUCAUUAUCUCUUCAAUUAUUUUUAAAUUUAAUUGAGACACAUUUUGGCUUCUUAUGCUUUCAUAUUAAGAUUUGAUUGUAAAUAUUUCUGAAAACUUUUUUUUCUUGACAUAUGACUACCUGUCCUUUUCCAUAUUUUAUCCGACACUUCUGCUUAAACUUUUCUCUUAUCUCCCUUUAUCAAUUCAUUUAUGCUACAUGGUUAACCCAAUUGUGUCAAUUUGCUAAAAAAGCUGUUAAACAAUGGGAGGUCAUCUGGCUAAAUGUUCUACUUAGCUCAGCACUUCGCCAUGAAUUCUAAUGUUCAGUCUUCUUCUGGGAUAAGCAUAUAGUGAAUGGAAGGCUCACAGUUUUGUUUCAGUUCCAAAUAAACCAAGUCUGUCUCUGGUUGGAUCAUUGUAUUUUAAUCUCUGAUGCCAGUUGCCUGCUUCCUUUAUUUUCAGUGCUUUGUUCUUUUAUUGGAAGGCGUAGUUUAGAGUGACUUGAUCAGUAUACAAUGUUUACUCAACAUUAAUUUUGAUUUUAUGAAGUUUUGCUCAUACUUGCUUGUGAAACUAAAUAGCAACAUUCUACGACUAGCUAUCAUUUCAGUGUUUUACAUUCAAUGUUAUUUUUCUGUUCACCAUCUCAGACAUUUUUCUCAUCAUCUGUUGUACAAAUAAACAUGUGCUUUAAUAAUAUUUGUAUAAACUUGUUACAAAAAAAAUUUUGUUUUUAAUUUAUGUACAUCUUAAAGUUUUUUGCUGUUCAUUUUGUUCUAGUUAGUCAAUAAAUAUGUUAACUUUCAUUCUUAGAAAAAGUUUUAUAAUAAAACUUAUGAAAUUAUUCUUAACUAUUCUUAACUGGCUUAUCAUUCUUGUGAACUUUUCAUUAUUUCAAUAAUUUAGACAAAUUUUCAGAAUUAAAAAAAAGAAAUGACUUAUUUAAUAAAAAAUAUUUUAGCAGAAAUUAAGACCAAAUAUUGAAAAAAAAAAAAACGGAGUCAAGUCAAAGAUAAAGAACAAGCCAGAGUUUCCACUACCUUAUUUAAAUAAAAAAACAAAACAACUACAGACUAAUAAUUAAGAUACAACACUUAAAUGUACAAUUUGUGACUUUAAUUGAUGAGAUUACAGCACUAUUGUUUGUUACCAAAGGUGACUUGAUUAUUGUACAGCACUAGUUUGUACUGAUAGAACAGUCUCAGCAGCCAAACACAAAGAAAUAAAUAAGAAUAACAAAACCUAAACAGAAAGUAAUUGAUACAGAUUUUAAUAAUUCUAUAGUUUUCAAAGUGUAAUCUGUUAUCAAGUGGGAAAAAAAGUUUGGUGGGCUUAGUUUAAAGUUCUAUUUCAGGUUUUCAUAACUUUAUUUUUAUAUCACUGUUUAAUUAAUUAAAUGACUUCUUGAGACAAUAAUAGAUCAAGAUCUAUAAAUACAAGAUCACAUGAUAAUAGGGACCCUAAAUGAAACCAUUUAAGCAAUUGAAGAUAAUGAUGAUUUGUCAAGUAUUGAAUCUUAUGUUAUAAAAAAAACAUGCUGCUCCAGUUAAAAUCUUUUACUUAAGUUCAAACUUUAUAAGAGAAGUCAAGAGGCAUUUAAACAGAGUGGCUUCCACAAAACAUUAUAUAGAUAUAUGUGUAUAUUAUUUUAUUUUGUCACAAAUACUAGACUAAGUUCUAUAGAUGUUCUCCAGAAUCGGACUUAUUUUUAAACAUAUGCACGAAGCAGAUUAAGAGGGGAGGGAUCAAUUAUUGUUGUGAAUCAAAUAGUGGGCUUGUUUGAACUUCAGGCCUUGAACUUUGGCAUAGGUCACAGUGCCUGACAUUUUUUUUUUACAUCUAAAAUGUCAAAAUUACAUCAAAAGCCAUAAAAAUAGGGAAAAUAAUCUUCAUAAAUACAUAAUUUUAAAAUCCAUCAAAACUAAAACAUAUUAUUCAUGUCUAUUUUGACUUACUAUUGACAAUUUGAAAUAAAAUAGAUUUAUAAAAUUUAAAUAUAUUAUUAAAACAAAAUUAAGAAGGAGGUAUUUCAAAAUAACACAUACACAUUUUUAAUAUAUACAUCAGACAAUUGAAUGAACAUUUACUCCCAUUUUUUUAAACAAGUGUUCAUUUUCAACUAAACACUUUCAUCCUAAAAAGAAAAGUAAUGUUCAGUUUGUUUACCCUAGUUACAAUACAUAGGAAGUUAUUUACCUAACUGAAGUAAAUGUCAAUUCAUACAGCAAGUAAGUUCAAUGCAGGCAGAGAACUAAGUUGAUUACAAUUUAAAUAAAAACAGAAUGAAAGUAAAUGUACAAGUCAAAUUAUGCCAUAGAGGAACAAAAUUUACAUUAUGGUAAUAAACUAUGAAAUUUGAUUUUGUUCUGAUAAUUAUCAAUCUUAAAAUUAACAAAUGAUUAGUUAGUCUUGCUGCCGCAGUGGAUGUUGCAAUUAUUAAACUGAGACUAUUUGUAAUGUAGCUGUUAUGAAAUAUCAAGAUGCAUCAAUUUAAUCAUAAAGUAUGGAUGCCUUCCUUCUAUAGUUUCUGAUUGCCUUUAUAUUUCAAUUCUACUCGGAUCAAAAUAGAACUAUUUUUAUUCACUGCAUGGGCAGCCAUUGUUUCACAACAUGUACACUUUCUGUGAAGUCACUAGAACUAGAUAUCUAGAUGUAGAUCUGAAUAGCUAGAUCAAGUGAAUUUCAAAGUGGUAUCCCACCAAAUGUUUCCUACACUUUUUGAUUGGGUCUCAUUGGUCAUCUCCCUAAAUAGUUGAACUUGGUUCCAUGGUUUGGAACAUUUCAUUUAGAGUAAAAGUGUUCAUGAAUAUUGACUUCAUGCAACAUCAUAUUGAAGUCAAAAAACUUGAUGUCUCUAAUGUUUGUUUGUACAAGUUUUUAGUAUUUCUAAAAUCUGAUUUACAUGAACUCAGCUACCAUCUGGUGACAAGUUUCACAGUAAAGCCUUUUCAUUGAAAUGUUCAAUAAAUAAUAACAUGUGCUAACAAUAAAUUACAAGAUUAACAUGCAUUAAGAGGUAUAUUGGCAUUCAUGAUUCAAGCAGUCUACAAACAACCCACUUAUGGAACAUGCUUCAUCAUUACUUCUUAACUAGGAUUAAAUUUUACCAUAGUAGUAAAAGUGAGGUCAAACAGGCGUACAGAUCAACAUUUGAAAUAAAAAUGUCAACUACUUCUUUGACAUGUUUAGUGAUGGUGAAGUUCAUGCCAUAAAAACCUUUAGUGAAGAAAAUAUUAGUACAGUUGAUCCUGCUCUAACUCAUGCUUUUAACAUCAGUUUUUUAAGUGUUAGUGAAAUGAGAACUUUGUAUAGUACUAGUAAGGUGUAUCGGUGUCCAUUUGAUAAGCAUUCCAAGGGACUAAAAUGUGUUAAUGUAGGUGAGUUAGUGGUAACGAUGGUACAUCAAAAAGUAGUUCCGCAUGCUCUCCUCCAUCUGUAAAGAAAAAUGUGUUCUUCAUCAGCAGAUAUCAAAAUAGACAUUAGAAUUGAAAGACCCACCAUGAUAUCCAGCUAAUUAAGACAACUAAUAGAAAUAUAGUCUACAGAUCUUCUAGGCAGAGAGUAUUGCAUGAAAUAACAAAGUAGAGACUUCAGCUAAGUUGAUACAGAAUGCAAUGUUAAUAUAUAAAUACAGAAACAAAUUAAUAAUAGUCUUUUAUAUAUAUAUAUAUAUUUCUAGCAUAUUGUCUCAUUUUUGUUUUACCAAACGCCAAAUAGUAACUGGUCAAAUGGUCAUAUGAUAAAAAGUUAAGAAGCGGAUAAAGGCACACACAUACCACAACAAUCUAAAAUUUAGUCAAAUCAAGAAUUAUAAUAUUUGGUAUAUUGAUGUUUUUAAAUUUGUAUAAUGUUGAUAUCAUUAUUAUUACUUAGUUUGUUACUAGUCCAAAGCAACUACAGAAAAAAAAGAGACAACAACUAUGUCACUCAAACAUGAAGUGACAGAAACCAAAGCUGACCAAUCAUACUCUAGCAUUAACAUGCAGCCGAAGGCAAGCAAUUGAACAUACUUUCAAACUGGUGGAUAUUUGGAUUUGUCCUCUUUCAGCUUAUAAAAAAAUCUGCUUUACGCUUACUAUCAUAUGGGUUUGAAACCUGGAAAGGAAACAAAACAGACUAGGUAUGGAACAAUGACUCGGGAAGUGUGAAUACAACUAGUGUGCUAUUAAAGAUUCUUCCUUGAAGUUCAUGUUUUGAAAAAGAGGGGUUGGAUGUUAAUGUUACUGCAUAAAGAAAGCCAGAUGAAACAAAUUUGUUAGGAUAAUAAUGUAAU